rnacentral:rRNA from 1 species
AUUGAACGCUGGCGGCAUGCCUUACACAUGCAAGUCGAACGGCAGCACGGGAGCAAUCCUGGUGGCGAGUGGCGAACGGGUGAGUAAUAUAUCGGAACGUGCCCAGUCGUGGGGAUAACGUAGCGAAAGCUACGCUAAUACCGCAUACGAUCUAAGGAUGAAAGCGGGGGAUCGCAAGACCUCGCGCGAUUGGAGCGGCCGAUAUCAGAUUAGCUAGUUGGUGAGGUAAAGGCUCACCAAGGCGACGAUCUGUAGCUGGUCUGAGAGGACGACCAGCCANACUGGGACUGAGACACGGCCCAGACUCCUACGGAGGCGAGCAGUGGGAAUUUUGG